rnacentral:rRNA from 1 species
AUGCUCUUUAACAAUCUGGAAAGCUGACUAGUAAAUUGAAUUUUCGAAUUCAAUACUAAAUAGUUUCUACUUUAUAAGUAGGAACGAGUUCUCAAGCAACACACAUUCAAGUGUCUUGUGUAAGAGUCCGGCGAAAACAAAAAAUUCUCUCUAACGAGAGAGUGAACCUUGGUUGUUGCCAUACGAAACCUCUUGGGGUUGUAUGGUUAAGUGACUAAGCGUACACGGUGGAUGCCUAGGCAGUCAGAGGCGAUGAAGGACGUGCUAACCUGCGAUAAGCCAAGAGAAGAUGGUAAGAAUCACUAUACUCUUGGAUUUCCGAAUGGGGAAACCCAGCUGCAUAAGCAGUUAUCGUUACGUGAAUACAUAGCGUAGCGAGGCGAACCGGGGGAACUGAAACAUCUAAGUACCCCGAGGAAGAGAAAUCAACCGAGAUUCCGGCAGUAGCGGCGAGCGAACCCGGAUUAGCCCUUAAGCUAGUUUGAUGACAGGUGAAUGUGCUGGAAAGCACAGCGAUACAGGGUGAUAGCCCCGUAACCGGUAGCAUCUUAUCAGUGAAAACGAGUAGGACGGGACACGUGAUAUCCUGUUUGAAGAUGGGGGGACCAUCCUCCAAGGCUAAAUACUCCUGACUGACCGAUAGUGAACCAGUACCGUGAGGGAAAGGCGAAAAGAACCCCUGUGAGGGGAGUGAAAUAGAACCUGAAACCGUGUACGUACAAGCAGUAGGAGCCCACUUGUUGGGUGACUGCGUACCUUUUGUAUAAUGGGUCAGCGACUUAAUUUUAGUAGCAAGGUUAACCGAUUAGGGGAGCCGUAGGGAAACCGAGUCUUAACUGGGCGUACAGUUGCUAGGAUUAGACCCGAAACCAGGUGAUCUAGCCAUGGGCAGGUUGAAGGUGAGGUAACACUUACUGGAGGACCGAACCGACUAAUGUUGAAAAAUUAGCGGAUGACUUGUGGCUAGGGGUGAAAGGCCAAUCAAACCUGGAGAUAGCUGGUUCUCCCCGAAAGCUAUUUAGGUAGCGCCUCGGACGAAUACUACUGGGGGUAGAGCACUGUUAAGGCUAGGGGGUCAUCCCGACUUACCAACCCUUUGCAAACUCCGAAUACCAGUAAGUACUAUCCGGGAGACACACGGCGGGUGCUAACGUCCGUCGUGGAGAGGGAAACAACCCAGACCGCCAGCUAAGGUCCCAAAGUUAUAGCUAAGUGGGAAACGAUGUGGGAAGGCUCAGACAGCCAGGAUGUUGGCUUAGAAGCAGCCAUCAUUUAAAGAAAGCGUAAUAGCUCACUGGUCGAGUCGGCCUGCGCGGAAGAUUUAACGGGGCUAAGCUAUACACCGAAGCUGCGGCAAUGUGACUUGUUCACAUUGGGUAGGGGAGCGUUCUGUAAGCGGUUGAAGGUGCAUCGUAAGGUGUGCUGGACGUAUCAGAAGUGCGAAUGCUGACAUGAGUAACGAUAAAGGGAGUGAAAAACUCCCUCGCCGGAAGACCAAGGGUUCCUGUCCAACGUUAAUCGGGGCAGGGUAAGUCGACCCCUAAGGCGAGGCCGAAAGGCGUAGUCGAUGGGAAACGGGUUAAUAUUCCCGUACUUCUUAUAAUUGCGAUGGGGGGACGGAGAAGGCUAGGUGGGCCUGGCGACGGUUGUCCAGGUUCAAGGGUGUAGGCUGUAAUCUUAGGCAAAUCCGGGAUUACACUAGGCUGAGACCCGAUGUCGAGUCACUACGGUGAUGAAGUCAUUGAUGCCAUGCUUCCGGGAAAAGCCUCUAAGCUUCAGAUUAUAAGAAAUCGUACCCCAAACCGACACAGGUGGUCGGGUAGAGAAUACCAAGGCGCUUGAGAGAACUCGGGUGAAGGAACUAGGCAAAAUGGUACCGUAACUUCGGGAGAAGGUACGCUGCCGGCGGUGAUNNNNNNNNNNNNNUAAGCUGCUGGCAGUCGCAGAUACCAGGUGGCUGCAACUGUUUAUUAAAAACACAGCACUGUGCAAAAUCGAAAGAUGACGUAUACGGUGUGACGCCUGCCCGGUGCCGGAAGGUUAAUUGAUGGGGUUAGACUUCGGUCGAAGCUCUUGAUCGAAGCCCCGGUAAACGGCGGCCGUAACUAUAACGGUCCUAAGGUAGCGAAAUUCCUUGUCGGGUAAGUUCCGACCUGCACGAAUGGCGUAAUGAUGGCCACGCUGUCUCCACCCGAGACUCAGUGAAAUUGAAAUCGCAGUGAAGAUGCUGCGUACCCGCGGCUAGACGGAAAGACCCCGUGAACCUUUACUACAGCUUGGCACUGAACAUUGAACCUACAUGUGUAGGAUAGGUGGGAGGCUUUGAAACCAUGUCGCUAGAUAUGGUGGAGCCGUCCUUGAAAUACCACCCUUGUAGUUUUGAUGUUCUAACGUCGCCCCGUUAUCCGGGGUGCGGACAGUGCCUGGUGGGUAGUUUGACUGGGGCGGUCUCCUCCCAAAGCGUAACGGAGGAGCACGAAGGUGGGCUAAUCACGGUCGGACAUCGUGAGGUUAGUGCAAUGGCAUAAGCCCGCUUGACUGCGAGAAUGACAAUUCGAGCAGGUGCGAAAGCAGGUCAUAGUGAUCCGGUGGUUCUGUAUGGAAGGGCCAUCGCUCAACGGAUAAAAGGUACUCCGGGGAUAACAGGCUGAUACCGCCCAAGAGUUCAUAUCGACGGCGGUGUUUGGCACCUCGAUGUCGGCUCAUCACAUCCUGGGGCUGAAGUCGGUCCCAAGGGUAUGGCUGUUCGCCAUUUAAAGUGGUACGCGAGCUGGGUUUAGAACGUCGUGAGACAGUUCGGUCCCUAUCUGCCGUGGGCGUUGGAUGAUUGAGAGGGGCUGCUCCUAGUACGAGAGGACCGGAGUGGACGAACCUCUGGUGUUCGGGUUGUGUCGCCAGACGCAUUGCCCGGUAGCUAAGUUCGGAAUCGAUAACCGCUGAAAGCAUCUAAGCGGGAAGCGAGCCUCGAGAUGAGUCAUCCCUGAACCUAUAAGGUUCCUAAAGGGUUGUUGAAGACUACGACGUAGAUAGGCAGGGUGUGUAAGCGCUGUGAGGCGUUGAGCUAACCUGUACUAAUUGCCCGUGAGGCUUAACCA